rnacentral:misc_RNA from 1 species
UACGGAGGGGGCUAGCGUUGUCCGGAAUUAUUGGGCGUAAAGGGCUCGUAGGCGGUUUGUCACGUCGGGAGUGAAAACUCAGGGCUCAACCCUGAGCCUGCUUCCGAUACGGGCAGACUAGAGGUAUGCAGGGGAGAACGGAAUUCCUGGUGUAGCGGUGAAAUGCGCAGAUAUCAGGAGGAACACCGGUGGCGAAGGCGGUUCUCUGGGCAUUACCUGACGCUGAGGAGCGAAAGGGUGGGGAGCGAACAGG